AAGGCCCCCUGGGACCGGUAGUGCUGGGCGUGGCCGCAGGACUACAUAUCCCAGCGGCGCCCGCGCCUCGGCUUCAGCGGUGCCUCCUCAGACCCUCAGAGCGACGGCCGCGGCCGCGGCUGAGUCUGUGGUGCGGGCAGCUGCGGGCUGAGCGGCGAGUUUCCGAUUUAAAGCUGAGCUGUGAGGAAAAUGGCGGCAGGCGGAUCAAAAUACUUGUUAAACAGUGGACUCAGAGACCAUUAAAAACAAACUCCAACAUCAUUUUACUGAUUAACCAGGUGUGCAUCAUCAUCUCAUCUGGCUAGAAGAUUUUCUUAAAUGUAUCCUUUCCCUUGACUCACAAAACAAAAUGAAGCAGAACGCUUAUUGGCAGAGUGCUUCUUACGCAUACACCAUGUCCUGGUUUUGAAUCCCCAGGACAGGAUGGGUGAUUAGGGUUGUGGAGGUAAGUUACAAAAUUUUUUGACAUUUGAAGUGGUUUGUUAUUUUUUAUAUUGUUUUAUUGGUACCGGGGAUCGAACUCACGACCACCUGCUUGCAAGGCAGAUGCUCAUGCCGCUGAACUAAAUCCCCAG
rnacentral:lncRNA from 1 species